rnacentral:rRNA from 1 species
AUUGAACGCUGGCGGCAGGCUUAACACAUGCAAGUCGAACGAUGACUCUCUAGCUUGCUAGAGAAGAUUAGUGGCGGACGGGUGAGUAACAUUUAGGAAUCUGCCUAGUAGUGGGGGAUAGCUCGGGGAAACUCGAAUUAAUACCGCAUACGACCUACGGGUGAAAGGGGGCGCAAGCUCUUGCUAUUAGAUGAGCCUAAAUCAGAUUAGCUAGUUGGUGGGGUAAUGGCCCACCAAGGCGACGAUCUGUAACUGGUCUGAGAGGAUGAUCAGUCACACCGGAACUGAGACACGGUCCGGACUCCUACGGGAGGCAGCAGUGGGGAAUAUUGGACAAUGGGGGCAACCCUGAUCCAGCCAUGCCGCGUGUGUGAAGAAGGCCUUUUGGUUGUAAAGCACUUUAAGCAGGGAGGAGAGGCUAAUGGUUAAUACCCAUUAAAUUAGACGUUACCUGCAGAAUAAGCACCGGCUAACUCUGUGCCAGCAGCCGCGGUAAUACAGAGGGUGCGAGCGUUAGUCGGAAUUACUGGGCGUAAAGCGAGUGUAGGUGGCUCAUUAAGUCACAUGUGAAAUCCCCGGGCUUAACCUGGGAACUGCAUGUGAUACUGGUGGUGCUAGAAUAUGUGAGAGGGAAGUAGAAUUCCAGGUGUAGCGGUGAAAUGCGUAGAGAUCUGGAGGAAUACCGAUGGCGAAGGCAGCUUCCUGGCAUAAUAUUGACACUGAGAUUCGAAAGCGUGGGUAGCAAACAGGAUUAGAUACCCUGGUAGUCCACGCCGUAAACGAUGUCUACUAGCCGUUGGGGUCCUUGAGACUUUAGUGGCGCAGUUAACGCGAUAAGUAGACCGCCUGGGGAGUACGGCCGCAAGGUUAAAACUCAAAUGAAUUGACGGGGGCCCGCACAAGCGGUGGAGCAUGUGGUUUAAUUCGAUGCAACGCGAAGAACCUUACCUGGUCUUGACAUAGUGAGAAUCUCUCAGAGAUGAGAGAGUGCCUUCGGGAACUCACAUACAGGUGCUGCAUGGCUGUCGUCAGCUCGUGUCGUGAGAUGUUGGGUUAAGUCCCGCAACGAGCGCAACCCUUUUCCUUAUUUGCCAGCGGGUUAAGCCGGGAACUUUAAGGAUACUGCCAGUGACAAACUGGAGGAAGGCGGGGACGACGUCAAGUCAUCAUGGCCCUUACGACCAGGGCUACACACGUGCUACAAUGGUCGGUACAGAGGGUUGCUACACAGCGAUGUGAUGCUAAUCUCAAAAAGCCUAUCGUAGUCCGGAUUGGAGUCUGCAACUCGACUCCAUGAAGUCGGAAUCGCUAGUAAUCGCGGAUCAGAAUGCCGCGGUGAAUACGUUCCCGGGCCU